UUGUAAUUUGCCAAGCGGGUCAUCGAUCUAGAUCAAAAUGCUGCUGUAUGAGAUUACCUAUUUAUGAGGAAUGAAAAAUGAAUUUUAAGGUUUAGAGAAUGAGUAGGGACUCCGCUGUAGUAAAUUUUUGUCCAUAUUUCUCAAAAUUUUAGCUUAGGACAUGAUAUAGUUUAUCUGCUGGAGAUGCUCUAAGCCAGCCAUUGACGUAAACCGAGCAUGACUCAGAGAGUUUGAAGAAGCAGAGGACUCAACAGUCUUUUCCAACACCAAACCACGUCUAUAAAUAGAAAAACAUGCCAAUAUUCAUUUCAGCAUGCACCUAGCUCUUGCAUUUCAUUUCAUAGAAAAAAAAAGGUUGAAACCAAAUAUGGGUUCCAAAAUGUUGGUAUUACUGGCUCUGUCCAUUGCUUUUGCUCUUCUCAUUAGUUCAGAAGUCACAGCUAGGGAUUUAUCUGAAACUACUCCAAAUUCUGAGGGAGCCAUCAGCGGCAUCUCCGGCAAAAAACCCCUAUAACGUUAAAACCCUCGAAUUGUAUCGAUUGCGCCGAUGGUAGGUGCCUGCCGGUCUGCCCUCAUCAAGAAGCCGCUCAAGUAAAGCCUCAGAACUAGGCCACUUGCCUGUGUAAUAUAUAUACUAAAAGCUCCUCCCUCUAUGCUAGCUGGAUGCUCUUUGGUUCGGCUUAAGAACCCAGCUUUUAUAAGUCAGAAAUAAUUUGUUUGUACCGUUUAUAUAAAGAACUAAUAUAUUAUUAAUGGACGGGUUUAAUCAUCGAAUAUAAGAAAGAAAAAAUGGAUUAUGUACUCAAAAUAAUGUUAGGUAUUUUUAAUUCUGUACUCAAAUUUUUAUUUUUAA